GGUAGCGCACAAGAGCCUGCUCUCUGGGUGACGAGCGGCGGACGGGUGAGUAAUGUCUGGGAAACUGCCUGAUGGAGGGGGAUAACUACUGGAAACGGUAGCUAAUACCGCAAAAAGACUACGGACCAAAGUGGGGGACCUUCGGGCCUCAUGCCAUCAGAUGUGCCCAGAUGGGAUUAGCUAGUAGGUGGGGUAAUGGCUCACCUAGGCGACGAUCCCUAGCUGGUCUGAGAGGAUGACCAGCCACACUGGAACUGAGACACGGUCCAGACUCCUACGGGAGGCAGCAGUGGGGAAUAUUGCACAAUGGGCGCAAGCCUGAUGCAGCCAUGCCGCGUGUGUGAAGAAGGCCUUCGGGUUGUAAAGCACUUUCCGCGAGGAGGAAGGG
rnacentral:rRNA from 2 species